AGAGUUUGAUCAUGGCUCAGAACGAACGCUGGCGGCGUGGAUAAGACAUGCAAGUCGAACGGGGUAUUCUCUGUAGUAAUACAGGGGAUGCUCAGUGGCGUAAGGGUGCGUAACACGUGGGCAACCUGCCCGAGAGUGGGGGAUAGCCCGCCGAAAGGCGGAUUAAUACCGCAUGCGGCCACCGGAGACAUCUCCGGGACGCUAAAGCCGGGGCAACCUGGCGCUCUUGGAUGGGCCCGCGGCCUAUCAGCUAGUUGGUGAGGUAACGGCUCACCAAGGCUAUGACGGGUAGCUGGUCUGAGAGGACGACCAGUCACACGGGAACUGAGACACGGUCCAGACACCUACGGGUGGCAGCAGUCGAGAAUUUUUCUCAAUGGGGGAAACCCUGAAGGAGCGACGCCGCGUGGAGGAUGAAGGUCUUCGGAUUGUAAACUCCUGUCAUUGGUGAACAAAGCCCGCGGUUAACUGCCGUUGGGACUGAUAGUAGCCGAAGAGGAAGAGACGGCUAACUCUGUGCCAGCCGCCGCGGUAAUAC
rnacentral:rRNA from 1 species